UACGAAGGGGGCUAGCGUUGCUCGGAAUUACUGGGCGUAAAGGGAGCGUAGGCGGGUUAUCAAGUUGGGGGUGAAAGCCCGGGGCUCAACCUCGGAAUUGCCUUCAAAACUGAUAACCUGGAGUAUGGAAGAGGUAAGUGGAACUCCGAGUGUAGAGGUGAAAUUCGUAGAUAUUCGGAAGAACACCAGUGGCGAAGGCGACUUACUGGUCCAUUACUGACGCUGAGGUGCGAAAGCGUGGGGAGCAAACAGGG
rnacentral:rRNA from 1 species